GGGAAGCGGCGGACGGGUUAGUAACGCGUGGGAACGUGCCCUUUCUCUAAGGAAUAGCCACUGGAAACGGUGAGUAAUACCUUAUACGCCCUUCGGGGGAAAGAUUUAUCGGAGAAGGAUCGGCCCGCGUUAGAUUAGAUAGUUGGUGGGGUAACGGCCUACCAAGUCUACGAUCUAUAGCUGGUUUUAGAGGAUGAUCAGCAACACUGGGACUGAGACACGGCCCAGACUCCUACGGGAGGCAGCAGUGGGGAAUCUUGGACAAUGGGCGCAAGCCUGAUCCAGCCAUGCCGCGUGAGUGAUGAAGGCCUUAGGGUCGUAAAGCUCUUUCGCCUGUGAAGAUAAUGACUGUAGCAGGUAAAGAAACCCCGGCUAACUCCGUGCCAGCAGCCGCGGUAAUACGGAGGGGGUUAGCGUUGUUCGGAAUUACUGGGCGUAAAGCGCGCGUAGGCGGACUGGAAAGUUGGGGGUGAAAUCCCAGGGCUCAACCCUGGAACUGCCUCCAAAACUAUCAGUCUAGAGUUCGAGAGAGGUGAGUGGAAUUCCGAGUGUAGAGGUGAAAUUCGUAGAUAUUCGGAGGAACACCAGUGGCGAAGGCGGCUCACUGGCUCGAUACUGACGCUGAGGUGCGAAAGUGUGGGGAGCAAACA
rnacentral:rRNA from 1 species